GCCCGGAUGGCGAAAUUGGUAGACGCAGCGGACUUAAACUCCGCAGUCCGGCAACGGACGUACCGGUUCGAGUCCGGUUCCGGGCACCA
rnacentral:tRNA from 2 species